GGGUGUUGGGGAACCAGAAGACCCUGCAGGCAGCUCUGUCUCGGCGAGCCUGCACCCGGAAACCAUCCUGCGCGCGCCCGCGCCCGCGGACGGCUUGCACUGGGAGCGCGCAGACGCUCUGCCACUGGGGUGUGCGUCUGCAGGCACAGGCGCUGCCCUGAGCGGGGGAUGAGCCCCCAUCUGCUGUGAACCUCUACUCACCUCAAGCCUCAGGAGACACUCAGUCAAGACCAGGAGAAUUGACCAGAUGAGCACAAUCAACCCCCAGCCAAGAGUGAAA